rnacentral:rRNA from 1 species
CCUACGGGAGGCUGCAGUGGGGAAUAUUGCACAAUGGGGGGAACCCUGAUGCAGCGACGCCGCGUGAGUGAAGAAGGAUUUCGGUAUGGAAAGCUCUAUCAGCAGGGAAGAAAAGGACGGUACCUGACGAAGAAGGCCCGGCUAACUACGUGCCAGCAGCCGCGGGAAUACGUAGGGGGCAAGCGUUAUCCGGAUUUACUGGGUGUAAAGGGAGCGCAGACGGCUGUGCAAGUCUGGAGUGAAAGGCGGGGGCCCAACCCCCGGACUGCUCUGGAAACGGUAAAGCUGGAGUGCAGGAGAGGUAAGCGGAAUUCCUCGUGUAGCGGUGAAAUGCGUAGAUAUUAGGCGGAACCCCAGUGGCGAAGGCGGCUUACUGGACUGCAACUGACGUUGAGGCUC